ensembl:lncRNA
AUGAAGGUCACCACGGGUUCUCUGGGUCGUGCAAUGUCCACACUUAUGGUCCAGGAGCUCAAUGCCCCUGUGUCCCAGACCGGCCUCUUUGGCGACGCAGUCAAAAGCUGUGCCCAGCAGUUCUCGGCUGCACAGAAGCAGACUGAGGUGAUUCGUCACAUCCUGCCCCUGGCAGCUGCUGCCUCCACCCGUCCGCCAGCCACAGUGCCCCAGCAUGCACGUUGCCAACUCUGCCGCAUCAGCGGUGCCAUGGAGCUGGGUGUAAGCAGGCCGCCCCACCUGUUCAGGCCCCCAUCAGACCUGGCGGUGAGUGGAAGAGCAAGAAGCCCUGGGAUGGGCGACAAAGAGAGCCGGGUGAAGAAUCUGGUUUCCAAAAAUCUCGAUGACAGGGCAGUUUUCUCUGUCUCUGGGUCCCAAGAGGGCACGGAGAGUCGCGGACGGAUCAACACCGGACCACACUCAUCCUCCUCUCUCGCCAGCAGGCAGCAGCGGGCGGUUCAAGAGCAUCAACAAAUGCCCUACUCAUGCACCCUCUGCCAAACUGUGGAACCAGGUAAGCGUUGCACCGCACACUCAGACCCCUCUUCAGUCCACCCACAAGCUGCCCGAGAUGGGUCCCUGCGUUCCACCUUGCUGCCCCACUGCGGGUACAGCGGUGGCUGUGCUGGUCCCGCUUGCGUGGUAUCUGGGUGUCUGGCAAGUGCUAACCAGUUCAAGAUGUUGAUGCAGAAACACAAAUUCGGGUGCAUCCGUCCCCGAGAUUGGUUUGCAGUGAUCGACCUGAAAGAAGCAUACUUUCAUGUGUCAAUCCUUCCGCGCAACAGGCCAUUUUUGUGGUUCGUGUUCAAAGGACAUGCAUAUCAGUGCAAGGUCCUGCCCUUUGGGCUGUCCCUGUCUCCCCGUGUCUUCACGAAAGUCGUGGACGGGGUUCUUGUUCCCCUCAGAGAGCAGUGUGUUUGCAUCCUUAGCUAUCUCGAUGAAUGGCUUAUACUAGCACAGUCUCAGGGAUCAGUUGUGCGAGCACAGGGACCUGGUGCUCUGGCACCUCAGCCAGUUGGGCCUGUUGGUCAACUGGGAAAGAGCAAACUCUCCCUGACGCAGAGGAUCUCUUUUCUCGGUAUGGAGUUGGAUUCGGUCAACCAGAUAGCACAUCUCACAGUGGAAUGUGCGUGGUCGGUGCUGAACUGCUUGAAUUCAUUCAAGGGCAGGAUAGCGGUCCCACUGAAAUGAUUUCAGAGGCUCCUGGGGCAUAUGGCAGCGACAGUUUCACCGCUGGGGCUGCUUCAUAUGAGACCGCUUCAGCACUGGCUUCAUGGCUGAGUCCCGAGGUUGGCAUGGCAGCGCGGCACUCACUGGCUUCAAGUAACACCGGCCUGUCGCCAAACCUUCACCAUGUGGUCAGACCUUGUUUUUCUUUGGGCAGGAGUGCCCCUAGAACAGGUCUCCAUACUUGCUGUGGUUUACACAGAUGCCUCCACCACUGGCUGGGGGGCCACGGACAAUGAGCAUGCAGUGUCGGGGGUUUGGGCGGGUCCCCCAACUGCACUGGCACAUCAACUGCCUAGAGCUGUUAGCAGUACGCCUUGCCUUGAACUGUCUCAGAGGGUCGCUUACGAGGCAAGCACGUGCUGGUCCGCACAGACAACACUGUGACCGUUGCUUACAACAACCGACAAGUUGCUCUACGCUCCCGUCGCAUGUCGCAACUCGCCUGCCACCUCCUCCUCUGGAGUCAGAAACAUCUGAGGUCACUUCGUGCCAUUCACAUUCCGGGCCUGCACAACCGUGCAGCCGACGAGUUGUCACAAGCUGCUCUUCCUGGAGAGUGGAGACUCCAUCUCCAGAUGGUCCAGCUGAUUUGGAGAAGUUUCAGAGCCAGUUAGGUAGACCUGUUUGCCUCUCCAGAGACCUCUCACUGUCAGUUGUUUUACUCCCUGACCGAGGGAACACUUGAUAGUAGUUGACACCAUCACUUCGCCAUUAGCACCGUCUAUGAGACACAGUUACGCCUUGACGUGGAACCUGUUCAUCGAGUGGUGUUCCUCCUGCCGAGAACACUCCCGAAGAUGCCCGAUCAGAGUCGUGCAGUCCUUUUUGCAGCAAGGGUUGGAGCAAAGGCUGUCUCCCUCCACCCUUAUGUUGCUGCGAUAGCUGCUUACCAUGACCCCGUGGAGGUAAGUCCAUAGGAAAGCAUGACCUGGUCAUCAGGUUUUUUAGGGAGACGAAAAGGUUGAAUCCUCCCCGG